GUAAUAAUAUGUACAUAUGCAUGAGUGUUUGUUCCUAGCAAUUAUCUCAUUGUUAAGUUUUUUUAUAAUUUCUCUGCAAAUGCUGCUGCACCUUCGCAGCCGAACGUUUAUCUUUGAUCCUGGAUUCGAUUCCAAUUGUAACAAGAAACAUAAAAUUAUAGAAAAGUGUGUUUAUACUCCUAUAAGUAUUUAUCACUUAACAAUUGGCAUCUUAAGAAGCGAAAGCAGUUAGCGAAACAGCAGAUGCAGAGUUUUAGAGCCAAUCCUACCGAACACAACACACCAAAUAUCUUGGCGACUAUUUCUUUGAAGGCCUGGGAAAUUUGCAGAAUGUCUCACUGGAGGGACUAGUUACCUUCUUAAAAAGAUCUAAGUGGUUUAAGCACCUUAGUUGGGCGAUGGAAAUCAAAUGCAGGUGUCACAAUGUGCCUUAGGGCCACCGAGUGUCUUGUCUUUGGCUAACCUAACCUAACCUAAUGUUGUCUUUACAUUCAUUGGCAAUACCAGCUUAUAAUACUCGUUUAGGGCUGGGGAGAGCCUUCAGUUCCGCUUGGCUACCACUGCACAUGUAAAUUUUUUUGCUCACGCAGAUGUUCUUAAUGACAUAACCCAUGACCCUAAUUAUUGCAAACAUUUCCACACCUCUCUAGGGAAUACCAAAGUUUGACGACUCAACGAAUAUCCCUGCUUGAAAGAUUCUGCAGCAUUGCUCACUUAGUUCUGAUGGCGCAAGCCAUUGGUUCCUGUCUGGUGUUACCAUAUUAAACUUUCUAAGUAACUUAAGUCUCAGUGCUCAAAAGUCAGGAGGCGUGGCGAAAUGCUGUCUUUACUUAUUGAAUUUUAUACACCUUCUUCUUUGAUUGAAGAACAUUUUUUUCGCGAUCUUGAUGUUCUUUUAAUUCUUUUGCAAAGUUGCCGGGAUUUAAGAGCCCUUAAAAAACUCAAAGGGAAGUUAUAAUGCCAUCUUUCUAUUCGCAUUUCGAAGUUACAAGUACGAAACCGGAAGGUUUAUUUGGAUUUCACUGUUGUGUUAUUUAUUUUACUUGAGAUCUAGAUACAGUCUAGUUCACUUGAUUAAAGACAAGAAUUUUUAUAGAACAGAAGCAACCGUAUUUGAUCUAGUAUCCCAAGGUUUUCUGAUACUUCAAGUACUUUCCUCGAAAAUAAAUAUUUCGCAGCAGUAAAACUUCAACAGCUGUAAUUUUGAGCUUGAUUUCACUUCACUGGGUUCACUUGAAUAGAGACACUUACGUUGCGUUUUUUAAGCAUUCACUGUGUUUGGUCGAAAACUUCUUAGAUCUAAUAAAAUAGGAACGCUGAAAGGUUUAAUAGAUCGCGUGAAAGGAUCAACCGCUAUCUUGGCUACAGAGGGACUUUCGAAUCGCCAAGUGACGAAAAAGAUUGGUCGAACUCCUAAUGAUGUGGAUGUGGAUGUGGAAACAAGAUGUCUGCUAUGGUAAGAACUACAAAGGCAGAACUGCGAUUGUUUGGACACCGAAAAAAACCCGUAAGAUCCUUGGAAUUGCAGCAAAUUCCGUCCUUUCAACAGCACAAAUUACAGAGAUGGCAAAUGUUGCAGCCAGCAAAGCCAGCGUUCGAAGGGCUUUUAUUAUACGAAUAUUGAUUGAAUACGCCCUCUAAAUUUUUAUAAUGAAAUCGCUUAUGAGAAUCAAUCUAACUAGGACUAAAAUGUAAUGCCGAGAAAUUGACAAUUUAUUUUGUUGAAAUAAGCAAAAAAUUCUAAAUUAGAAAAUGAAUCCGUACAUCCCAUUUCCACUAAAAUAACUCCUCUUAAAAUCAUCUACCUGUGUAUCCCCAACUACUGCAAUAUAUAUCUUUGUAUGUAAAUAGUUGAGUGUGCUUGUAUACCUGUGCUCAUCAAGGACGACACUGUCCAAUAGCGUAUCAGAUACGAAUAUGUCCACAAACAAAAAAGAACACUUAUAAAAAUAAAAACAACAAAAUCAAAAUAAAAGCAAUAACAUAGAAAAUCCAAGGACAAAACAGAAAAAAAGCACACAAAAAAACCACACACCGGAAUGUGCGCAAAAGCUACCUACACUAACAACAACGAUAGCUGUCCCGAAAACAACCCCACUGAAGAGCGUGGCAAGUAGUUGAGUGGAGCUGAGAAUAGAAAUCAUAUAGGUAUGUAAAAGCUAGCAAGUGAAGGAGAGAGCAUGUGAGCAAGCGGGCGCCAACAGUAGGUGCCUAGAAAUGGUUUGGUGGAGCAACAGUGGAGAGAACUUGAAUGGAUAUGUUUGCGUGUAUUUAUGUAUGUAGGUGAAGUUAAAGAGUGUAAUGAAAAAGCCGGUCUCACCGCCACCACAACAAUAACCUCCGGGCGAGAGAACAACAGAUAUGGAAAGUCCCAGUUGGGCUGGCCAAACAAUACGGUAGCGAUAUCAAAUUCUCUCUUGCACAUUUGUGUGUUGUUCGCUGGAAAUUUGAAAAGUGCGCAAGGCAAAGGGGUGGACCAAAUGUACAACAAUAACAGAGGCAUCAACAAGAGUCAGCAACCACCAAGCGACUAUGCAUAUAUGAGUACAUGUAACAACUAAAACAACAACAACAGCAAGCAAGCAUAUCAACAACAGAGACAGCGACAAAUUCCUAGUGGUUGGCGGCCGGGCGCGCGAUUCAUUUUUGAAUUUCUCAGAUUUUUCAUUCAUUCGUCGAAUAAACGUCGACGCUUUCGGUUUGUGUGAACGGUGAUUUUCGUAUCGUUGUAUACAAAAACAAAAAAGAAUUUUAUCUGUUAGAUAGUUCAGCGAGCUCAAACAAUCUUAAGCAGCAACAACAAUAACGUGCGCGUGCGAUAUCAUAAUUACAAUAUUCGAUACAAAUUAGAAAAAUAAAUAAAAAAUUUGCGGUUUUGGCGAAGCGUUAAUUGCAAAUUUGGCAAUUAUCUUUGUAAUCGUGGAAACAAAAUUAAUAAAAAUAAAUUCGUUUCAAAGUGCUUUUGGAGCGUGAAGUAUGCGACACUAAGCCGGUUUUCUUGUUGUGGGUACGAUUUGUUGUUUAUUUUGUGAUUUUACGACACAAAAGUGCGUUUUCAAUCAAAAAUUUUAUUAAAAAAUUACAUGGCAAAAAAUUGUUUGUUGUAUCAGAGUGCACAUAUGUAGAUAUAUAUACAUACAUACAAAAAUCAAAGUUAAUUAAAAUCGAAUUGUGGCAGCGCCAACAUAACAACAACAAUAACCAACAAAAGUGGCCGAAGCAUAGCAGUGGUGGCAACGGCACUAGCACAAAAGCGAAAGAGCGCAAAUUAAAAGCAAAUAACGAAUAAUUGAGAAAUCACAGUUGCGACUACGCGUUAAUUAAAUCACAACAAAAGUAAGAAUAUACAAGAAAAUCAGUGUGAAGAAAAUAUCAUUUUCAAAAAAAUACAUAUAUAUAUAUAUUUCAUGCAAAAAAUUAACACAUCAAAAAGAGUGGAAAGUGAAGAAAACAACAAAUUAAUCGCAAUAACACGCUGAGUAACUCAAGAAGUGCGGAGAAGUGCUAGCAGCGAAUAUUGUUUAGAAAAAAGGUAGAGACUUCAAAAUUUCAGAAAAAAUGAAGUGAAACAAAUUGAAAGGAGUAGAAACUCAAGUUUCUAGCUAGUGGAAAUGGUCCUGCGGUCCAUAUAAAAGUGACAAUUCAGCGAAGAAGGAGAGUGCACAAGCCAACUGUUCAAAUAACAUUUUAAUUAUAUAAAAACAAAUACAUAAAAAAAACUAUUGUAAUCAAAAAACGCACAUUUCACUUACUAAUCAACACAAAUUUGCUAUGGCAAUAAAUAGUUUUUAAUUUACAUUCGCGUGGAAAAAAAUAAAAAAGCAAAAAAUUCAUCGUCGCGUAAAAUUAUUUUAGUGAAACAAAUUUAUUACUGGAAAAUACAAAAGAGUCAUCAGCUUUAACGACGUUGCAAACGGAAAUUCAGAAAAAAAAAUUUACUUAAAGAAGACUAUAAUAAAUUGUAUGCACACAUUCUGCGCAAUAUUUAUUAUAAACAACUUGGAACGGCGCACUGAAAGCGCCAUAAAGUUUCAGUGUUCAAAUAUUCAUCCCAGUAAAUUUAAUUUAAUAGCAACAUUUUACAGCAGCUUGCUCCAAUAGUUCAUAACCUGACGUUUUACGUGUUGCAGCUUUGCUACUGCAGUCCCAGGGAGGCGUACAACCGUUAUAACGGACAAAUCCGCAUAUGUAAGAAAAACUUAUAUGGUCUCUUGAAUAUUUAAACUGUAAAGUACGUGAAAGCUUUAUGGAAUUCAGCAGGAAUCGUGUGUAAAAAUAAUAAAUGUAAAGUUCCUAUGCCAUGUGAGUCUAUAAAAGCCUUACGAAUUUUCUUUGUCUGCAAUCCUUCAAUGAUUUAUACAAUUGUUAGGACUGGUUUUAUACCUCACCAAUAAACUAUUCGUAGCUUUAAAGUAUCCCUUAAAUUUGUUCGACCGUUCAACAAGGUUUUGCGAAACACAAUUGUAUUUAUCGAUAUGGUAAAUUGACCUGCAAUGUUAGAAAAUAGUUAGGAAAAAAUGAUUUUGAACUCGUAAAUGGCAAGAAAGGAAAUAACUUUUAGCUAUUAUCGAUAUCACGACAGACGUUUCUACACAUCGAAGUCACUUGAAGAUUCCCCUAUCUUUUAAUCCACUGUUCUAAUCGGUUUUAACGCAUAAUAUUUAUAUUUAGUAAUUUCGAAACCUUGCCCUAGCUGAAGAAUUUAAGUUUCGUCCAUUUAUCGUAAAUCACUCAAUCUUCGAUCUGUGUUUAAUAAGUUGAGUUGUUGGUAUGAAUACUAAAAUGCAUAGGAAAACAAUUUAAAUAUUCGCCAUCUCAGCUCCUAAAGUGUGAAAGCGAUCUUGAUCUGUCGGCGAUCUUGAACUACUUAAUAAAUCCGUGAUAUUUUCUAAAGCUACUUUUUAUUUUAAGGCAAAUUUUAAAGAAAAUAUCCUCAAAGGCAUAGAAAUAAAAACAUUUGCCAAAAAAGUUCACAGGUAAUACUGUUUUACUUGUGCCACAAAACGUGGGCAAAAGGCCUUCGCUAAGUUUGUUCAAGCCUCAAAACACGAAAAGAAGAGAAAAUAUUGGGUAAAAUCUUGUGGUACUCCGUUGAAACCAGGAAAAAAGUUUGCAUGUAUCGCUUUUCGGAAACGGAUUUCGAGACCGCGCCUGAUUGGAAGAGGGCGAUAUAUUUUAAACCCUUUUUUUAUUUAAAAAGCGUAGUUUUAUUUAAACGAAUUUUGAUUUAGAUCAUAUACUGAUUGUCGUGUGUUGCAUCUGGAAAAGGAAUUAGCACACCUUAAGGAGCCACUUGUGAAACUGGAUAAAUUCAAAUCCAACGUCAGUCACAUACUUUCUGAGGGGCAGAUUAAAAAGUUGAAAGGCCCAUCUAUAACAUUCAUUCAAAAUUCGUACAUGGACAUGGAUGAGAAAAAAAACAAUUAGCCAAAUGAAGUUUUGGGGAUAGUUUAAUAUAUAUUUGAACUAAAAAAAAAUUUGUACAAUCUCCAACAAUAUAUUGUAAACCGAGUUAUCAAUAGAUUCCCAGAGCGCCUUGCCACUGAAGUAUCCAACUUCUGUACAAGAUACAACUUGCAAUUUUCAUCUGAAAACAAAAAAAAAAGAUUAUUAAUUUUGAUGUAAUUAUCUUCGAUGUGAACUAAGAAAAUUGGGAGAAACACGUAAAAUUCGAAUUUUUGGGGAAGGUGGAAAACAAAAGUGGUUUUUCAAGGAAAAAAAAAACUCUUCAACUGGGUAAAAAAGUCGCUUAAAAAAAGUUUUUGGAUGUUUUUUUAGUUCACAUAGAAGAGAAAACAAUACUGAAGAUAACGCAUUUUGAAUGAAAUGCAUAGCUCGUUUAGUGUACAUAAAUUAGGUAAAAUCGUGAAAAUGAAAAGCCGAGAAAACGCGCUUCAAACUACAACAAAAAGCGCACGGUUGCUCGACGCCGCACUACGCUCGGCUCUGUAGCUCUGCAAAUACUUGGAAUUUAACUCUGAAAAUUUGUGUCUCAUGUUCUUGAAUAUCUAAGCUAUUGAUUUCAGGAAAAAAAAAUUGAUUUUUUUGACCUUUUAAUUGGCCCGCCGGCCUUAAGUUAUAGAUUGCCAAAAGGUUUGUGAAACGUAUGGUUUUGGUUAUCCCAAGUGUUUGUCAAACUACGAGCUUUUAGAUUUAGGAUAGCCAUCUCUUUAAAACCUAAAAAUAUCAUAUCGAAAUUACUAAAUUAAAACUUUCCAACAAAAGUAUUAUGAAAUAUAAUAUAAGUUAUAAAGAACUCGGUAACUAGGCACUUGCAGAUGUGAAUAUGCAUAUAUGUAUGUGAAAAGUCCACGGGAAUGGUUAAGCUAAAAAUAUAAAUAAAAUGUUAACAAUUAGUCUAAAUAUUAAAAAAUAAAAUAAUACAAGAAUGAAAUAAUAAAAUAAUAAUAAUAAUAAUAUAAAAAAAAAAUAAAUAAAUAAAUAAUAAAAAAGCUACAUAAAAACAUAUGUAAAAAAUAAAUAUAAAAAAAAUUAAAAAAAAAAAAUAUAAAAAAAAAAUUUUUUUAAAAAUUAAAAAAAUAUAUGUAUAAAAAAUAUAUAAAAAAUAAAGAAAAUAUUUAAAAAAUAAAAAAAUAAUUAGUUAUUGCAUUUGCGUUUAUAUAAAAAGCCAUUUCAAUCCACUUGGAUCCACUGUACCCAGUUGCACCAUCAAAAUUAAUAUCAAUUAUCUAGUUGUUAAGAGUGUUGCCGUGCAAAAAAUUAGCUCAGAACUCUAUACAUAUAACAUAGAUGUACAUAUAUAGGUACAUAUAUGUAUGUAGGUGCAUAUACUUGUUUAUCAGUAUAAAAUAUAAUUAUCGACUAAUUAAGAAUCCUGUAAACUAAUGAUUGGCCAUAAUCGAUCAAUUGCGGAAUGCGCCAGCGAGCAGAGAGUUUCAGAACGAGUUUGUCGCUUCGUUAAUGGGGCAGGGUAAGGCAAUUAUGAUAUAUUCGCUAUUAAUAAAAUAACAAAAAUAAUUACGGAUAAAGUCACUAAUUUUAUGAUCGUAAAAUAAAAAGGCAAUCAAUGAAAUAGACGACGACAAAAAUAAAAAAUAAAAAUAAAACUACCAAAAGAUAAUCAACUAGUAAUCACACUAAUAAUCACAACAAUCUAUUUAUUUUCGAAUAACGCCUGAGCAUUCGUGCAAGUAAUUAAGCAAAAAAGCUGGCCGUAUAUAAAAAUAAUUUAAUAACGAGCAUAAUUUAUAAACAAAUUGAAACGCGUCAAAACAUUUGUACAUACAUGAGAUGAGAGUAAAAACUAAAGAGAUAACAAAAAGUGGAAUAAAUUGUAAGUUUCGGAACACGAUCUAUUUAAUUCAAACAGAAAAAUAACACUGGUUUACACAUUAGAACCAGAUUAACCCAUUGUACUGCAAAGUCGGUCGCUGAGUUCGAAAAUCCACAUAAUUCUUUUGUUUUGGUAUGCAAUUUUCGCGAUAUCGCCAAAUUACGGUUCUGGUUUAAAGGAAAAAUGUAUAUCAAAUUCCUAAUAUCUAUCCUAUCCUAUCUAUCCAUUAACCGAUCAAAACAGGUGAUAUAGCAAAUUAAAUGAAAUUACAUUUUCUAAAGAAAUUUUUUGUCUUGGAAGAUAUGAAAGUUUUCGGUUUAUAUUGUAAGAAAUAUUUAAGAAAACGAUUUUCGAAAUUUGCUUGUUACUCAUUUUUUAAGAGUUACAUCUACACAAAAUUCAGGAUAUAGGUGAAAACAAACCAAUAGAUAUACUUGUACGAGUAUGAUAAAAGUUUUUCGAAUGAGUAUAAAAAUAUUAUCUUUUGCAUUAUCCAUAUUUAAGUGAGGAAAUGGGUGUAUUCUUAGUUACAUAAGAAUUAUCGAUAGCGAUAACUAUGCUUUGACAGCUGAAAUGGCAAACUGUGUUAAUUCGUCGUCGUGGCGGACAUAGAUAUGCCGAAUAUUAUAUUAAAAAAAAAAAUGCCAUGAAUUUAUCUACGAGAUUAUAAUAAAAAAAAUCAUUCCAACAAUAUUUCUUUCUUACAUUAUCAAUUUAUGGUCUCAAGCUCUUAAAAAACUCCUUAUAGUGGUCAACA